CAACGCACACUCAUUGUUAUUUACAUAUUUUACACAAUAUAUAAAAUGUUUGUUUAUUCAUAUAUACAUAUUUGGAAAAUUUUUUUAAUUUUCGAAUAGAAAACACAAACACACAACACGUACAGGUACAUGUAUUUGUGCGUGUCUGCAUGUUUGUUUAAAUAUGCGCUACCUAAACUGUAUGUGUUCUUUCGUUAAGAGCAGUCCUCUGAUCGAAGGUGUUCCAGGUACAACCAGCCUAUCUUAUUUUCAGACACUGUACAUCUAGGAAACAGUAUCCAACGUGUCCUUCUCUUUUAAAGACAGUUUUGAAUCGGCUUUGAUGGAAGAGGAUAAAGGGAAACCAAAAAGUAAAUAUUCAUAUUAUAGAUAUGGACGUGAUGAUCUCAAGCGCCAAGCCGUGGAGUAUUAUCAAAAGAAUAAAGUUCCACAAAAAAUUGAAGAGGUUCUGAAUAACUUAUUUUAUGAUCAGCCACCUGAUAUUUAUGGAUAUUUGGUGAACUUCUUCCAGAAAUUUGCACUUCCUGCAAUUAUAAGUAGG